CUCCAGUGCAUCGAGGCUUUUUUCGGUCGUGGCCUCGAGAGUGGAUGGCUGGAAUCUGGAAGGCCUCUGUGCUGUGGGUCCUUGAUUAAGUCGGUGUCCUCGCACUUACCCCAGUCCACGCAUCCAAGCCCCAGAUCUCUCCUUUCUCUCUCUUUCGAAUUUCCUCUUCGUCUUGCUAGGCACCGUCGGCGGCCUCGCUCGGGUCGCAGCGUUGCCCCACAAAUCUGCUUGCCCAGCCAUGUCUCUGUCCGCUGUCACCACCAUCCAGCUCAGGGAGCAACCCUGACGUUCUCCCCGUCUCCUUGCCCCCAGAUCUGGACAACGCCUCCAGUUCGGACGCGGCUCGUCGGCCCACACACUGACGUGUGGGCCCGGACCCACCCGUCAGCGGCCCAACGGCAGGGGGCCGUACGUCAGGGGAUCCGGCUCCCUCCAGUUCAUAGAUUUGGAGGGGAAUAUGAGUCGAGGGGCGGGAUCGGAGACAAGCCAAAGAGAGGUUCUGGUCGGCUCUAGGGCGGAAGCUUUGAUAGUGGAAGGCCGGGUUGGGUGUUGGAGUAUUCUCUCUAUCUGUUUAGUUGAUAUUGUGAUGGCGGCGCAAGUCUGAUAAUUGGGGAGGAGAGGUGAGGACGUCACAGAUGGAUGGAAGCGGCAACAGAAGCAGGGUCAGUUUCAGAGCUACCCGCUCUCCCACACACACAUGGGCUAAGAGAAAUGCAGUUGGAGGGGAUAAUUGUAGAAAUAAAUAUAUAUUUAUUUUAGUAGUAUUCAUACUAGCGUUGUGCUUAUGUUUAAAGCUUCAGACUCUGAUUUUGAGCAUCCGGUGAAUUGUCUUGACUCUUAUUACAAAAACAAGCGAUAUGUUCAGGAAACAUUUUACUUCGAUGUUAUCCUCCCAUAUGAAAAUCUUUUUUUAGGUUAAUUAUGCCAACAAGCACCAUAUGUCAUUUUUAGUAACGAGUUUUAUCCAAAUUAUGAAGUAAACAUGUUCAUACAUCGUAACUGUAGCUCUUCUCCAAUAUGUUAAUGUUGUUUUCUCAUUUAUAUCCUGCUAAAUAUAUGUGGCUAUGAAAGGCAUUAACUUUUCAUCCUAUAUUUUCCAAAUAUCAUCUACUCCCUCCGUUUCUAAAUAUUUGUCUUUUUAGAGAUUUCAAAUGGACUACCACAUAUGGAUGUAUAUAGACAUACUUUAGAGUCUAGACUCACUCAUUUUGCUCCGUAUGUAGUCAUUUAUUGAAAUCUCUAGAAAGACAAAUAUUUAGGAACGAAGGGAGUAGCUUCUGUUUAGACAAUGCCUACAACUACAAAGGAGAUGUGACUUUCCUUUGUUGUGGUGGGUGUUCAUGCGCUCUGGUGGGUGAUACCACUACCGUAACAAUCUACUGAAAUGGCAACUACCAGAAGUCAAAAUGCAAUAUGGUACAUGGAGGAAGAGCCCACCAUCAAAGGUGAAAAAGACCCCCUCAAAAAAAUCAAAGGUGGAAAAGAGUCCAAUAAAAGAAAAACAGCACAGCAAGGCGCGCGUCCCCUUCUACUAUGAUGUAUGUCUGCCCAUAUAGUUUUUUUCUAAAAUCAUUGUAAAUAAGCCUCAGAACUAUGUUUUUGGCUAUCAUGCUACCAUCCAAUGUACUACUCCCGCUGUUUUUAAAUAAGUCUUUUUAAAAAUUUCAAUAUAAACUACAUACGGAUGUAUAUAGACAUACUUUAGAGUGUAGAUUCACCCAUUUUACUCAUUUUAGAGUGUAGUUCAUAUUAGAGUUUCUACAGACUUAUAUUUAGGAAUGGAGGAAGUAAUAUAUACUGAUGUGUAUGAACAAUGUACCGAAGUAUCUAUUUCCUUGUGCUUCAAGGUUUUUUUAUCAGUCUCUAAA